UAGCAUAUCAAUAAGCGGAGGAAAAGAAACCAACAGGGAUUGCCCCAGUAACGGCGAGUGAAGCGGCAAGAGCUCAAAUUUGAAAGCUGGCUCCCUUCUGGGUCCGCAUUGUAAUUUGCAGAGGAUGCUUCGGGAGCGGUCCCCAUCUAAGUGCCCUGGAACGGGACGUCAUAGAGGGUGAGAAUCCCGUAUGGGAUGGGGUGUCCGCGCCCGUGUGAAGCUCCUUCGACGAGUCGAGUUGUUUGGGAAUGCAGCUCUAAAUGGGUGGUAAAUUUCAUCUAAAGCUAAAUAUUGGCCGGAGACCGAUAGCGCACAAGUAGAGUGAUCGAAAGAUGAAAAGCACUUUGAAAAGAGAGUUAAAAAGCACGUGAAAUUGUUGAAAGGGAAGCGCUUGCGACCAGACUCGCUCGCGGGGUUCAGCCGGCAUUCGUGCCGGUGUACUUCCCCGCGAGCGGGCCAGCGUCGGUUUGGGCGGUCGGUCAAAGGCCUCUGGAAGGUAACGCCCCCUCGGGGGCGUCUUAUAGCCAGGGGUGCAAUGCGGCCUGCCCGGACCGAGGAACGCGCUUCGGCUCGGACGCUGGCAUAAUGGUCGUAAGCGACCCGUCUUGAAACACGGACCAAGGAGUCUAACAUCUACGCGAGUGUUCGGGUGUCAAACCCGUGCGCGAAGUGAAAGCGAACGGAGGUGGGAACCCGCAAGGGUGCACCAUCGACCGAUCCUGAAGUCUUCGGAUGGAUUUGAGUAAGAGCGUAGCUGUUGGGACCCGAAAGAUGGUGAACUAUGCCUGAAUAGGGCGAAGCCAGAGGAAACUCUGGUGGAGGCUCGUAGCGGUUCUGACGUGCAAAUCGAUCGUAGAAUGUGGGUAU
rnacentral:rRNA from 1 species